rnacentral:rRNA from 1 species
UACGUAGGUGACAAGCGUUGUCCGGAUUUACUGGGCGUAAAGAGCGCGCAGGCGGUCGUUCAAGUCGAGUGUGAAAGCCCCCGGCUCAACUGGGGAGGGUCAUUCGAUACUGAUCGACUCGAAGGCAGGAGAGGGAAGUGGAAUUCCCAGUGUAGCGGUGAAAUGCGUAGAUAUUGGGAGGAACACCAGUGGCGAAGGCGGCUUACUGGACCGGUUCUGACGCUGAGGCGCGAAAGCGUGGGGAGCAAACGGGG